rnacentral:rRNA from 1 species
UACGAAGGGGGCUAGCGUUGUUCGGAAUUACUGGGCGUAAAGGGCGCGUAGGCGGUGUGUCAAGUCAGGCGUGAAAGCCCCGGGCUCAACCUGGGAACCGCGCUUGAGACUGGCACGCUCGAGUUCGGGAGAGGAUGGUGGAAUUCCCAGUGUAGAGGUGAAAUUCGUAGAUAUUGGGAAGAACACCGAUGGCGAAGGCAGCCAUCUGGACCGACACUGACGCUGAGGCGCGAAAGCG